CCUACGGGGGGCAGCAGUGAGGAAUAUUGGUCAAUGGUCGGGAGACUGAACCAGCCAAGCCGCGUGAGGGAGGAAGGUACAGAGUAUCGUAAACCUCUUUUGUCAGGGAACAAAGGCGGGGACGUGUCCCCGGAUGAGUGUACCUGAAGAAAAAGCAUCGGCUAACUCUGUGCCAGCAGCCGCGGUAAUACGGAGGAUGCGAGCGUUAUCAGGAUUGAUUGGGUUUAAAGGGUGCGGGGGGGGUCUGUUAAGUCAGCGGGAAAAGCCCGGGGCGAAACCCGGGCCCGCCGUUGAAACUGGCAGUCUCGAGUUGGAGAGAAGUAUGCGGAAUGCGCGGUGUAGCGGUGAAAUGCAUAGAUAUCGCGCAGAACUCCGAUUGCGAAGGCAGCAUGCCGGCUCCACACUGACGCUGAGGCACGAAAGCGUGGGUAUCGAACAGGAUUAGAUACCCGUGUAGUC
rnacentral:rRNA from 1 species